CCGCCAUCUCCUCCCCUGCAAGAGGCCAGCCUCUGCUCCGCGCCUCUCUAUCCCCAGCAGGUGGGAAAGGGUGCUUCCAGGGUACCGCUAUCUCCCCCGCUCCAAGAGGCCAGCCUCUGCUCCCCACCUCUCUACCCCUGGCCGGUGGGAAAGGGUGCUCCUCAGGCCCUGUUUAGGGCUGACAUUGGGCCAGGUGACAGGACACCUGGGCAUGAUUGGGCAGCUAUGGGGGAGCCAUGGGCAGAGCACCUGAGGUCUGCAGUCAGCAGCCCAGUCCGGGUGAUGCCUCCUGGGAAGGGGCCCAGACUUGGGAGUAACGGCGUCACUGAUGUGGGUCCCUGGCCCCACUGUGGGGUGUUCAGGGUUGUGCCUAUUGGACUGCCCGCCUCACCAUCCCACCCUAGUGAGCCUCCUUCCUCAGCCAUUGUCCAGCUUCGUGUCUGAAGUCCUGGCGUGGGGCUCACCGCCUGCCCCUUGACCGUGGAGUUCGGAUGCAUCUCACAAAAGUUUCCUACACUACUGAGGUUUAGGGGCACUGUGAAGCAAAAGCCACGCCUCAGAAUCCCAGGCGGAGACUCCGACCUCCUCCCGGGAGGGAAGCCAGUAGCUGAGCACCUGCGGGAGAUUAAAGAGAGGAAUAAGGAGGUGAGUACAUGACAAAGAGCCACAGUCGCAGUCAGUGGGGCCUGGCUCAGAACAGGCUGUGCUGGGAAGCGGGAGCAGGAGCUGGCGCCGCCUUGCGGGCUGGCAGAGGACCAUCCACUCCCUGGCGCUGGGGCCGUCCCAUCUCAUGGGCAAGAAACGUGAGACCCCUGGCUCGCUCCACACACAACCUAAGUGCCAGAUGGAUGAGACGCCUACGCGUGAGUAAAUGCCAGGAACAUGAGACUCGAACGUGGCAGGAUAUCCUUCUGCCCACGAAUCUAAAAGCUUACUCGGUAAUGGGAGAAUGGUUCCAAUUUGAUAAACUCGGGUUUUUAGAACGUCUGUGCUCCAGAAACACUGGAAGGCAAGUGGCUGCUCGCUGGAGGAGAUAAUUGGAUGCUGCAAGCGGCAAAGGGCUCGGGAUGCAAAACACCGCAAGAAAUGCGACAAGGGAGGAGCAUUCCCGCAAAGAAAAAACGCACAGGCCGAGAGCAGUGGCUCACGCCUGUAAUUCCAGCACUUUGGGAGGCCGAGGCAGGUGCAUCGCUUGAGGACAGGCGUUCGAGACUAGCCUGGCCAACAUGGUGAAACCCCAUCUCUACUAAAAAUACAAAAAAAAAAAAAAAAAAAAAAUUAACCGGCUGUGGUGGCGAGUUCCUGUGGUCCCAGCUACUCGGGAGGCUGAGGCAGGAGAAUCGCUUGAACCUGGGAGACAGAGGUUGCAGUGAGCCAAGAUCGUGUCACUGCACUCCAGCCUGGGCAACAGAGUGAGACUCUGUCAAAAAAGAAAAAAAAAUUGCACAAAUGGCA
rnacentral:lncRNA from 1 species